rnacentral:lncRNA from 1 species
UGUGCCCUUGCUUCAUUGUCAUACAUCAUAUAUGCAUUUCCAGGGUGGAGUGCAGGGUGAGGCCCAGAAGCUGCAUAUGCAUCACCAGGCUGUGUGCCAAAAGUUCCCUUGAUAUGCUGGGGUGGAGGCUGCUGUGGAACUGGUCUACCAGCUGCACCGUACCCAUAGGGCAAGGUAUCAGCACGGCUGGCUCCUGGUUGAGAAAUUCCAGAAAAAGACAUUUGCAUUGGCAUGCUGCUUGGGAGCAUCUCUGGAGGAGAGGCAUUUGUUGGUUGGGCUGGUGCAGAGUAGGGAGGGUACACUGUUGUCGUUGGGGGUCGGUUCUGAGGUUGCAUAGAUGGUUGUUGCGGCAUCUGUACCUGCUGAGGCAUCUGCUGUGGCAUUUGCUGAGUCAUCUGCUGAGGCCAUUGCUGCUGGUACUGAGGAAAAGAGGGGACUUGGGGUGCUUGAUUCACCUGAGAUUGUGCUG